rnacentral:tRNA from 1 species
GCCUUCGUGGUGUAAUGGUCAAGGACACUCGAUGCGUAUUCGAGAGGUCCGUGGUUCGAGUCCCGGCGAGAGCA